rnacentral:rRNA from 1 species
GAUGAACGCUGGCGGCGUGCCUAAUACAUGCAAGUCGAGCGAACAGACGAGGAGCUUGCUCCUCUGACGUUAGCGGCGGACGGGUGAGUAACACGUGGAUAACCUACCUAUAAGACUGGGAUAACUUCGGGAAACCGGAGCUAAUACCGGAUAAUAUAUUGAACCGCAUGGUUCAAUAGUGAAAGACGGUUUUGCUGUCACUUAUAGAUGGAUCCGCGCCGCAUUAGCUAGUUGGUAAGGUAACGGCUUACCAAGGCGACGAUGCGUAGCCGACCUGAGAGGUGGAUCGGCAACACUGGAACUGAGACACGGUCCAGACUCCUACGGGAGGCAGCAGUAGGGAAUCUUCCGCAAUGGGCGAAAGCCUGACGGAGCAACGCCGCGUGAGUGAUGAAGGUUUUCGGAUCUUAAAACUCUGUUAUUAGGGAAGAACAAAUGUGUAAGUAACUAUGCACGUCUUGACGGUACCUAAUCAGAAAGCCACGGCUAACUACGUG